UAAAAUAUAAUAUAAUCAAAAAUAUAUAUACUCGACUAGGCUUACGAGCCUUUAAGUCGAGUAUUUUGCUAUUCGAGCUUGACUUAAAAAACUAUUUGAGCUACUCGAGUUUGGCUUAAGCUUAGUAAUAGUCGAGCUUGGACUUGAGUGAAGCUCGAGCUGCUCGACUUAUAUGCACCCCUAGUUUUAUGCCUAGGAUUGUGUGUGGUGGAGCAUAUAGCUAAUUGGUUUGAACAAGGAGGAUUGGCAAUUGAUUGAAUUCAUCAAAGUGUUUUCUGUGGUCACAUGGUUGCCUCUAUGGAUGCAUAAAUUGUUGUGCACAUAUUCCAAGUGCCAAAAAUUUUCAUAUAUCAUAGAAGUUUGUUGUGAUCUAAAAUUGUCAGUAUUUUAAGCAUUCAUUUCUUUAUUGUUGCUGUGAUGGUUAUAAUUUGAUUCAUCUAGAUUGGAUUUGUCAGUUUGGGGACAACUCUACUAUGCGAUGUAGAUUUUUAUUGAUGCUUUUGCUUACACCUUUGAAAGUUGUUUACUAUAUCACUUUUUGAAUCCCUUUUGUUAGUCCUACAUUUGGCAUCACUACAAGCUCUUUAGAAUCAGCUUGUAUUUGUGUCAACUUCAGUUUUCCCACUAUUCUUCUGUUUCAUGGAACGCUGACUCCUUAAAACAAAAAUGAAUGCCUCCUCUAAUGAGGGCCUCCUCACUUCCUUGUGUCACAUGCCUAUACCAUCUUAAUUGUUUCCCUACUACUUUUUAUUUAAUUGCCGCCAAUCUGAAGCUUCCUGCAAUGCAUUCUUUUUUUAUCUUAUUAUUUUCAGUUUACCACAUAUCCACAUUAACAUUUUAUCCUUAGCUCACUUGGUUGGGCCCCAAAUAUUGCCCAAAGUUUGAGGCAUGCAGUAUUAUGGGUCAAAUUGCUGUUUUAUUCUUCUUGUGUUUGGAGGACUUUCAUCCAUCAUCCAUUUAUUUAAUGGACCUUGCAAUCAUUUCUUUGCAAGAAAAUUAGCCCUUGUUUUCUUUCAUGGCAUCUUUGGUGAUUUUGUAUCCUAGUCAAGGUUGGAGGAGCCGAUACCGGACCCUGUACCAGUUUUUCGGCGGGACGGCUUGGCGCGGGCCUCCUCCGUGCCGUGCCGGGCCGGGCCCGUACGGACACAACGAACAGACGGGCGGGGGACAGGCCAAACAAGAGAGAAAAAGAGAGAGACAAUGGGGGAGGGAAGGAGAGGACGCUGGCGGAGCUCGGCGGACCUCGACGGACGCCGCGAGGGGGUUGGCGCCGACCUCUGUUUUGUUUCGCUUUAAAAAUUUGGGAAUUCGUAAGUGAAGUCGGCAAUCGAUUUGCCAACUUCACUUACGAAUUUUCAAAUUUUUUAGUUCACGAUUCGUAAGUGAAGUUGGCAAAUCGAUUGCCGAGCGGCCGCUUAAGCGACCUUCUUCUCUAGCGCCGGCCCCCUUGCGGGCUCCGCCAGUGUCCCUCCCUCCUUCCCUCCCCCGGUCUUUCUCUUUUCCUCUCUCGUUCCGCCUCUCUCAGGCUUCCUUCUUUCCCGGUGCCGGCCCCCUUGCGGCCUCUGCCGGCGUCCUCUCCCUCUGCCUCCCUCCCUCGCUCUGUCUCUCUUUUCUUCUCCUUCUCCGCCUUCAGGAUGGCAUCCCGUUUUUUGAGUCGGAACCGUACUGAUGAGCCAGGUACGGUUCGAAACAGGUGGAACCGAUUGGUUCGAGUCGGUUUUGCCGAUGUUGAUCCUAGUUCAGGCUUGGUUUAUGAAAGCAGUUUGGCAGAUGUAGUUAUAUACUAAUUGCGUGCAUUUCAAAAUUAUAAUCCCUAUCUAACUUCAUGAUAGACUUUUAACAAUGAUGAUAAUGAAAAAAAGAAAAUCUAAUUGAUCUUAUCCUAUAAUUUUGGUUAUGGGAUUUCAAUUGCUUGGUUUAGACCUCUAUCUUGGCAGUGUUUAACUUGUGAUGAUUGCAGUCCUGGCAUAGUAUGCCGCUAGAAGAAUCUAGACACUUGACAGUGAAGAGAAAAAAAAAUUCUUUAUGCAGUAGCAUUUCAUGUGCAGAUUUUUGUUAUUUGUACUGAUUUAUUCUGAUCUUUGUCCUUGUAUUCUUCUCAAAUUAAAACUGCAGUGGUUCAUGAAACUUCCCACUUUUUGCACACCCGACUUCCUACAAAUGUUCGAUUAUAUUACCUUGCCAUGUGAAUUGUCUAGCUUGUAUGUAGCUUAUAUGUAAGCUGAUGCUUUAUGUUGCUGCGCUGUGUUAAUUUACAAAUAAAUUUUUCUGAAUAAUUUUUUUCCCAGGUACUGGCAAGCAAUGCAAUAUUCCUGGGUGUAGUAGUUUUUAUUCCCUUUUCAUUGGGAAGGAUAGUACUCUACUAUCUAUCAUGGUUCUUUUCAUCUGCAUCUAGUCCGAUGUUGGCAAAGGUCAUGCCUCUUACAGAAUCUGCUCUUUCCUUGGCUAACAUUACCUUGAAGAAUGCACUUACUGCUGUAAAGAACUUGUCAGCUGAAAGUGAUAACGCAAGCGUACUUGGGCACGUGGUGGAUGUGGUUGCAGGAUCCUUGAAAGUAAAUGCCACUGGACUGGAUGAAGUCUCAAAUAGUGUUAGAACGCCUCUUGCAUCAGAUCUAUUGAAAGGAACAUUUGCUGGUUACUCACGUCUUUCAGAUGUCACUACACUUGCAGUUGGAUAUAUGUUUAUAUUUUCUAUGGUGUUCUUCUACCUUGGGCUCCUCGCUUUGAUUCGAUAUGCUAAGGGUGAGCGCCUGAUUAUUGAGAGGCUUUAUGGGAUAGCUACAAUAGCAGAGGCGAUCCCAUCUCUUUUCAGACAAUUUGUGGGAGCAAUGAGACAUCUGAUGACUAUGGUUAAAGUCGCUUUUCUUCUGGUGAUUGAACUUGGGGUCUUUCCAUUGAUGUGUGGGUGGUGGCUUGAUGUAUGUACUUUAAGGAUGCUGGGUGCAACAAUUUCUCAAAGGGUGGAGUUCUUUUCAGUGUCACCAUUAGCAAGCUGUUUUAUCCAUUGGCUUGUUGGAAUCAUUUACAUGCUUCAGAUAAGCAUUUUUGUUAGCCUUCUUCGAGGGGUAUGGUUUAAUUUUUGAUGCUAUUUCUUUAAUGUAUUGUUAUGGCCCUUUUUCCCCUCGUUCUUAUAAAGUUAUAAUUGAUAGGUCUUGAGAAAUGGAGUUCUAUAUUUUCUUCGGGACCCAGCAGAUCCAAAUUAUAAUCCAUUUCGCGAUUUAAUUGAUGACCCUGUGUAUAAACAUGCCCGGCGAGUUUUGCUUUCUGUUGCUGUUUAUGGAAGUUUGAUUGUGAUGUUAGUCUUCUUACCUGUCAAACUUGCUAUGCAAUUAGCACCUUCCAUGUUUCCAUUGGACAUCACGUAAGUUUGUUAUUUUAUUUAUUCAAUAACCAGGGAACAGUUCUUUGGCUUGUUUCUUUUUUAUUUUAAUGCUUUUUUUUGUUGUUGUAGUCUUUUCUCUCAUUCUGUUAGUAUUUUAUGCAAGUGCAGUGUUUUUGACCCUUUUACUGAGAUUCCUGCGGAUGUGCUUCUGUUCCAAAUCUGUAUUCCAUUUGCGAUUGAGCAUUUCAAACCGCGAGCAACAAUUAAAUCCCUUUUACAUCAUUGGUUCACGGCUGUUGGCUGGGCUCUUGGCUUAACUGAUUUCCUACUACCUAGACCUGAGGAAAAUGCUGGGCAGGAAAUUGGGAAUGGAGAACUAGCAAGACAGGAUAGAAUGCAUGAUGCACGUCAAGGCAGAGUUGGGCAGCCUGACCAGCCUUUGGCACGGUUAAUUGCUGCUGAUGAUCAUAACAGGAGAGGUCAUCCUAUUGGAAAUGCUGAUGUUGCUGAAGAUUUUGAUGUAGAUGAUCAAACAGAUUCUGAGUAAGCAUUUGUAAACAGUUUGAUAUGCACAUGUUUACACGCACAUCGGGGCACCAAAUCAUAUAUAAAUUUUUACAUCACUCAUGCUUGCAGUAGGGGUUCCAUGUAUAGAAAAAAGUUAAACAUGAAGCUAGACUGGAAACUAAGACACCUGACAUGUAUCAGUUAUAUGUUAAAUAGUGCCAUAUAAAAUGAAAUGAUGAAUAUUAACUUGGAGACCUGUUACCUGGUAUCAAAUGAUCAUUUAGUGAAUGGUUUUUAUACAAUAAAAUAAAAGGUUCAUUUUGAUCUAUGGCUGUGAACUAACCAAACCACUUGAAUUUGGUGUACCAUCUACAUGUAGUUUCAAAUAUUUAGAGCUUGAUGAGAGUUGGAUCAUUUUAAGUUGAUUGGCUGACCAUGUGUUUAGUUGCAGGAAACAAAUGAACAAUUAAAAUCUUUAUGCCUUGGAAUUAUUAAAGCCAUCCAUGUUUGCUUCCAGAUGUGUUCAUGUGCAUGUAAAUCUCAAAUUGUAUCUACAGAUGAUUCUUAUUUUGGAGGGACAUCGUUAUGGGCAUGGGAGGAAGAGUUAAAUUUAAAAAGGUGCAACAUUUUUGUUGAGUUUAGCCUGGAAAAAUAUGGAACCCAUGUAUAAAGUUUAUGAUAUACAUCAAAUACUCAUCCAAAGAAUGAAAGAGAUUACUGGGCAGCAAACCAAAAAAAUAAUUAUGGUACUAUACUCAUAUGUGACUAGAUAUUGAUAGAAUAACUUUUUCUUGAGGAAGGCCUAAUAUGUAUAUACGUGACAGAAUUCCUGUACCAUGCACUAGUUAUAUGUUUUCUUUGUCAAUCAUUUUCUUUUUAGGGUGGUGUGCAGAAAAUACUUUCCUCUUAAGUAAAUUCAACAAGAUUCUUCUUGCAUAAGCCAUUUUCUGUCGCUCUACUUUAUCCUAAAUAUGUGUGUGUGUGUGUGUAUAUAUAUAUAUAUAUAUAUAUGUAUAUAUAUGUAUAUAUAUAUAAUGUGUAUAUAUAUAUGUGUGUGUAUAUGUAUAUGUCUAUUUAUGUGGAUAUAUAUGUAUGUUUCCCUCCUUGCUUAGGAGUGGUCUCCAACCUUUCAGGAGAGAAUGAUAGGCACUGUAUCAUUGAUAAGUUGCUAUAAAUGAGCAUGCACUAAAUCUCUGGAAGUAUGAUUUGGAAGCUGCUAGAGAGCCUACUCGUCUCCUUGGGUCCUCAUUUUUGACUUUAACAGGACAUUGAAACUUCUGUUAGGAGACACUGAGUUCCUGCAGACCUUUUUAGAGUAAUAUAUUGUGCUAUCACGUUUAAUGUUAAUAACGAUUUCUUGGCAUUGCUGCAAUAUCUUUGCGGCUUUCACCUUUAUUUCACCUUUUUAAAAUUAGCAUUUAGGUUAAUUUGAAUUUUUUAAAAUAUCUUAUCAAGAUUAAUGUUUGAAAAGCUUUUUAGGCAUUAGUUGAUCUGGUGGAUGACGAGGGGGGACCCUGGGAUGUUGAAUAUGCUGUAGAGGAUACUUGCGCUAUUGUUUUAUAAAGUAAUAAUAGUUUCUUUCCAUGUACACGAAACCAAAAGCGUUGAAUCGACUACUUAUACGAAAACUUGGUUAUGAAAGAUACUUGGGUUGAAGAAUAUGGUGUGACCAAUUUCAACUACUAAAACACAAUUAAACUGGAUUAAAUCAAUAAUGUUACACCAUAACUAUCAUUAGUAAGCUGAGUUGAACAUAAUUAUACGAUUAAGUAGAUAACUGAAUGCUCCAAUUUCGAUAAACAAAACAUGAUUAAACUGGCUUUGAUCAGAAUAAUGUUACAUCAUAACUGCCGUUCGGAAUUAUAUGAUUAAGUGGAUAAUUGAAUGCAAGACUAUUAUUUUGGGCUUCCUGCAGGUGUUUUAUCUGCUGGUUCUUGUAAAAUCUAUCUUCUGUAGAUUUUAUGCAUCUUUUAUUGGCUUAUCAACUUCAAUUUUCUCGGGAAAACAGUGAUUUUAGUGUAUUGCCUUGUCAUCUAAUCUGACAAUCAUUUAUUCAAUUCUUGGCAGGUAUGGUUUUGUAUUCCGUAUUGUGUUAUUGCUGAUGUUGGCAUGGAUGACUCUUCUGCUCUUUAACUCCACAUUGAUUGUUGUGCCUAUUUCACUUGGGCGCAUGCUGUUUAAUGCCAUCCCUCGCCUUCCAAUUACUCAUGGUAUCAAGUGCAAUGGUAAUAAUUAUGCUUAAGAAAAAUAUCAAAGCAAUAUUUCAUCACUGGUCAGUUUUUGAUCAUAUGGGGAAUCAACAUGUUGAUUGCUUCUUUUUUCAGAUCUAUUUGCAUUCAGUAUUGGUUGUUACAUCAUCUGGGCUGUUGUUGCUGGAACCAGAUACUCAAUUGAAUAUAUUAAAACCCGGCGAGCACAUGUUCUGGUAUCGCUGAUUUGGAAGUGGUAUGUUAUUGUCGUCAAAAUUUCUGCCCUACUUUCUAUAUGGGUAAGUGAAUAAUAUCACACAGGCUGACCGUUUAGAAUUGUCUUAAAAUUUUCUCUCUUUUUUUUCAAAAAUAUCCCUAUGUUAUUGUUUUCAGAUCUUUGUUAUCCCUGUGCUGAUUGGCCUUCUUUUUGAGCUUCUGGUGAUUGUACCAAUGAGGGUGCCUGUGGAUGAAAGCCCAGUCUUCCUGCUAUACCAGGAUUGGGCUUUGGGUCUGAUAUUUCUCAAGAUAUGGACUAGACUGGUACGCUUACUACUAUCUUUAUCUAUUUGUUGAGUUUCGCUUGUACCUGCAGCUUCAUGUUUGAUAGCUUUAUCAUAUUCUUUAUGUUUUUUCUUUUUUCUCUUUUUUGGUGUGGGUCAUGUGUUUAAAGUCUCAAUUAAACAAAUUGAUUUGCACCGUAAACCACUUGGGCAGAGAGAUCACAUUCCUCUAGCAUUUUUAGCAUAUUGAAUGUACUCUGUUGUUAUAGGUCAUGCUGGAGCAGAUGGCACCAUUGGUAGAUGAAAGCUGGCGUAGAAAGUUUGAAAGGGUGAGAGAGGAUGGGUUCUUCCGGCUGAGGGGCCUUUGGGUCCUGCGUGAGAUUGUGAUACCAAUUGUCUCAAAGCUGUUGACUGCUCUCUGUGUGCCUUACGUGUUUUCCAAGGGCAUUUUCCCAGUCUUGGGCUACCCAUUAAUAGUGAACUCUGCUGUGUACCGGUUUGCCUGGCUGGGCUGUCUCCUUGUCAGUAUGGUGUGCUUCUGUGCCAGGCGGUUCCACGUUUGGUUCACCAACCUCCACAAUUCCAUAAGGGAUGACCGCUAUCUGAUAGGCCGGAGGUUGCAUGACUAUGGGGAGGAAACUCCAGAGGAAAGCAGUGAGUCAGAGAUCAUUCCACAUAACCGAGACAUUAUCCCAGCUGAUGCUGCUCUGAUACAGCAUGAACGAGAAGCAGAUGGGCUUAGGCAUCGACGACUUAAUCAGCGCCCUAACCACCAACAGAGGUUGGCCAUAUAAGAGUUUCUCCAGAGGAUUUUGCUGCUGCUGCUGUUUGAAUUUGUUAUUGUAUUUCAUCCUUGUCGCUAGAUAAAAAGUGCUAUUUGUAAAUGUGAAUAGGCUCUGCACCCAAGUAUUCAUGGACUUUAGUCGUGUGAUGUGAGACUUUGGAGGCACUGAGUUUUUAACACAUUAGCAUUUAGAUGGUUUCAGUUAGGAAACUGGUCUGUUAGAACGCUAAAUAUGAGUUAUGUUUUAGCUAUGUAAAUGUUAGUGUGCAAUAUUUCUAUUAUGGGGAAUGCUGUGUGUCACUGAAUUAGUUUGAUAUGCUAUCGGCCAAGUGUCAAGGCUUCCAGUGCAAGCCAGUUGCAAGCCCAGGAUACAUGUAGUUUGGGAAACAGGGAAGAUCAAAUUAACUUGGGCAAAACCUUCAAGAAAUAAAGAAAUGUAAAGAUUAUAUAGUCAUAAUUUGUGUCGCAUGUAACUCUGCAUCCAUCUUUUUAAGAAAAUGAAAAGACUAAGAAGACAAGAAAUUGUCAUAAUUUAUGUCAUAAUAUCAUCUAAGCAAGAGUAAAACGGUAACAAUAUGGGGUUCCCGCUCUGCUUGGAUGAAUGGUUCUCUUGCUGCAAUGCAUAAGGGCACUAAUGCAAAUCCCAUGAUUUGUUAUCUCAAAUCACCCCAAAGUAUUUUUCCUUCAUAAAAGCAUUAGUAUAGUAUAUAAUUAUAGUAAACUUAUGUAGCAAUAAUGUAAUGCAUGUCUAACAUGGCCAAAAUAUUUAUAUAGCCAUGCACUUAAAUUUUUAGAAAAUGGAGCUUUUUGAAACAUUUGAUACGGAUGACUUCAGUGACAUCAAAUUGGGUGUCAUUCGAACAAAGAAAUUAAACAAAGGUAAUAAGACACAUUUAUAAGGGAGCGAAGUCUGUGUUUAUUAGGAUUAGAAUGAGGGCUGUGUGCAGCUAAAUCAACAUUUUGAACUGAACAAAACUUUCCAACGGAUUAGCAGGCUUGAUAGAGUGGGUUUGCGAAAUUAUUGUUAUCUAGUAACAGGUGUCGGAUUUUUCAUAUCAAGAGGACAGCCUUGUCAUUACUUUGUAUGGACGGGGAGCGUAACAGAGAUGCAUGUGCUUAUUUUGUCUCGAAAUGAAAGCAAAUGAGUUUGGUGCCAGUAUCUUAUUAAAAAAAAAAACCCGAGAGAGAGCAAGUGAGCCAGGUGCCAAUAGAUGAUGCUGUUACUUACACACUGUUUUCAAAGACUAGUCGUGCAUGACACUUUCCAUGCACAAGGUGGCAAAACCUUCGUUUGUUUUAUGGGAGGAGGAAGGUGGGAGCGCCACCAUUCCAAGUCAAAGGUGGGAGAACUCGGUGGGGUUAACUUUAAAUUCGGCUUUGGAGACGUAAUGUUUAUCAUGGAUCCAUUGUGUACUAAAGUUAUAUGUCACAACCAUCACGAUAUAUUAAUAUGUCCAAUCAAGCACUGUCUGAAGUCGAAUAUGUACAAAGGAACGGUUGAGAGAUCUUAUUUGACAUUUUAAUUAAUGAAAGUGCAAGUCUCGAAACAUCACCAAAUAGCUGAAGAGGUACGAAAGGAAGGCGAUGGACAAAUCAAAACGACUGCCAAUGUCGCAAAAUGAGCCAAAAAUAUCUGGUUUCUCUCGGCAAUUCUAGCCUUUAAAGCAAUGCUUGUGCUCAUCCUAUAGAGGAUAGGUUGAGGGAUCAGGGGAAAUCCAUUUCCUGCCGGGAGUAUUCUCAGUCUGGCUCUUACUCCUGAGACUUGGCUAGAUAACAGUACCCAAUCCCAUAUAACCCAUUCCUUCACAAUAGGCAGAUUAAAGACUCUGCAGCAUAAUUCAGCUGUUGGAGAAAUGCAUGUUUUCGGUUAAAAUAAACUUUGUAGCAUUUAUUUCAGUUUCCAAAGGUCAGUACCAGACUUCUACAAAAUGCUGUCAGUAACUCACUAGUUUUUUUUAAGUGACUCCGGAGAUAUUGGCCCCGAACUCCAGAAGACCACCUCAUCAUCAGUAAUUUCAGCUUGAUUUCAAUCACAAAUCUAACGCUGACAAACUAUGAAAUCAAUAAACCUGAGUAGAAUAUAUAAGAGGUGCUGUGUCUCUAUAAACUGAGCUUUUAUUAUUUUAUAUGGAAUGAAUCCGAGCUGCAUUCACAGUGUCAUAUGCUUAGCAAAACACGUUAUUUCAUUCGUCAUGGCUUAGAACAGGGGGGUCAAUCAAAGCCCAUCUUAAUUCACAAAAGGAACAACAAAAAGAAAAAUAUUUAUCACAUGUUCCUGCGAUACAAACAAUUAAAAGAGAUGGAUGGGGAGCAAAGCCUUUCAACGUGGACAAUCGAAAAAGGUAGUUAAUACACAGAUCACAAAAAUAGCUUCCCACCCUCAGAAGAAUAGACAAGCGUUACAAAAAACUCAAAACAAGCCAUAAUGGCCAAAAUAUUUAAGUAUUCAAAUUUCUUUGAUUCAGUAAUAGAAUAACUGGGGAAAUAAUAAGCAAUGACACCUCCUCCAAUUGUAAAUUGCUAGAUCCAUCAAUCCCUUUGGCUCAACUUAACAAUUCUUUGAGGAAGGUGGCAGCACCAGAAUCACUUUACAAGAUGCUUCCAUGCAUUCAAACUAAGACACCAAGCAAGCGAACUAAGUUUCCACUUUUCUCACCAACGAGCAAAACUCUUUACAUUCCAAAUGGACUUUUUGGCAUCUCGUCUUCGAUGGAGACUGAAACAUAAGCAUGUGGCUGAGCAUUUGAUUGUUUUCAUGGAUAUGUAUGGUCGGAAUUUACAUCUAAAGCAAAACCCUAUAAACAUGUACAAGUUGAUUGCUUCACUAAGUAAAGAGCUUGAAGAAGGGGUUUUUGUCAGAGCUUACUUGCACUCAGCUGUGUUGUUACCCUAUAAAAGAAGUUAGCUGUAUGGGUCGAGAACUGAUGUGUGACAAAGAAAGAAUAAGUCAUAUCACAUCCUGUCUCUAGGAGGCUGCGGUCUAGCCCUGGCCCUCAUUAUUGUUUCAUCACUAUGCCGGAUCCAUGCAGACAAUUUCCAUGGUUUCUGCCACUUCCACUUGAACUGUAGGAGCCACUGAUGAUGGCUCCUUUUCCAUCUCCAAAGCUUUCCAGCUUUUCCUACUACUGCCGUUUUCUUUCCCAUUGAUAAAUGCCCAAUUGGGACCAUCUGCAGUCAAAGAAUUUCUCAACCAUUCUGCAAGAAAACUGAGUUUGACAUAGCAAGAGCAGGAAUCAAACCUUCAGUGGCUGCUUGUUGAAUGUUGCAGUCCCUUUGCUUGGGCUAUUGGCAAUGCCAGCGGUGUAUUUUAGUUGCUUCUGUGCAGGAAGUGCAACUGGAGAUAGUGGGGUGCUGGAUUCAUCAGCACAAUGCUUCAGUGAACCAUUUGAGUUCCCCUGAAAAUAAUCAUAUCAAAGUUCAAGGGAAUGAUCAAAACUCAAAUCCAAGACUGCUUGAUUUGGAAUCAAACAGACUUAUCAUGAGGACUACAUACCUGUUUGUACUUCAAAAAAAAAAGAAAACUCAGUCCAAUAGUGUGUUUUAUCCCUCCAGCCACUCAAAAGGUGUAAGUCCUGGACUGUUUAUUACCAGAUUAUCAAACCUUUGAUUUGACACCCAAAUAACAGGCAUUUUUCAGAAAGUCUCCACCCAUGGACAAUGCUACGCCCCUCUAAUCUAUAGGUCCAAGUUUCUAGUUGAAUAGGGAAGAUGAUGUCACAACGAAGACGGAAAAAGAAAAAAACACGAGGAAUCAAGAAAUGCCAGUUUAGGAAAGGCACAAUCCAAUUGUAAAAAUCUUCUGCAGAAGUAUUCAAGGCGCAAUUUAUUACUGUCUUCAUUAUUUGUAUUAAGAAAAUGUUCUAAUCUCAGCAAUCCCUGAUGCUUCAUCAACACCAAACAACCAAUUAAUAGAAAAAUACAAAAAAUAAAAUAAAAAUGCCAAACAGCCUUUCCUCAAAAAGAGAGGGGAAAAGCCAACAGCCUUCUAAAUUCUUGCACAUUACGGAAGCCUCGAGUUAUGAACUUGUUGAUAUGACACUAGCAGGCAUCUGUUAACUUGCCUCAUAAUUUAGCAUCAAGUACACUAAACUUAAUACAUAGGAUUCCAUGAGUGAAUUCAAAUGCGGGAAUGACAUGGUCUUUCUAUUCUUGCUCAAAUAGUUUCUUGGUUUUUAGUAGCCUUAGUUGAAUCGCAAUAGUUUUCCAUUAAUUUUGAAAAUGAAAAUGAUGAAAAAGUUACAAAGAAUUUUCUCUUGAAAUUAUGCAACAGCUUCCAGCUUCCAGUCUACGGUAAUAUGAGAUAGUCACAAGACCAAGCCUACAAAACUCUAGGUGUGCAUCAUUUUCUUAAGCCGGAAUCACACUUUGUCUCGUGCUCAUUUUCAUGAUUCAAGCUCCCAAUCUAAGUUUCAGAUUCCAAAUUAUAUAUGACUGCAGGACUUUGGCUGCAGAAGUUUAACCUUCAUGGUUACAGUGAGAGAUGAAGCAUUAAUUCUGCCUUGAUCUAAUCUAUGGAAUAGUAAGUUUAUCCAAGAGUAUGCAUAUAGGCUCACCAAAGAUGAUGUGGCUAAUGCAACUGCAACAGCUUGCUCUCUCAGCUUUUGCUGCUUCUCCAUUUCCCUUCUCCGCGCUUCACUCUGGCGGAGGAUACCAGAAAGUUCAUUCAGCUGCUCUUUCAAUUCCUUGAUCUCAAUUUCCUUCUCCCUCAACUGGCACCUGUUACCAAAGAUAAAUUCACUAUAUCACAGACUGACAAGAUAAUGAAGAAGCAGUCAACAACAAAGAAAUGGAUAUUUAUAGAUGAGUAUCAAAUAUUGCAAAAAAGAAAAAGACUGCUUACGUUAUAAUACAUAAGAUAGAAAUGAGGACUUUGAAACAAUCAAAUUGGCAUGGUGAAUAUAGGAAAUUUUCUAAUUUCCUAAUUUAACUGUAGAAUAAUUUUAAAUAUUUUUCCCAAAGUUCUUACUCACUUUUCUGCAUGUGCAUGCUGUAAAUAUGGUGGCUCUGUGAUGAUGAAAUUCUAAUAUUAGUUUUUAAUUGAGUAGUAAGUCACCCUCAUCAAACCACAAUUCAAAAAGUACUACAUCAGCAAUCCCUGUUCUCAAAUUAAGAUUAUUAUAAAACAUGUCCAACAUGGCAAAAAUUCAAAACACGGAAUAACAUUUUUCUCUCUCCUGAUUCUUUUUUUGCUAGAACUUCUGACAUUCUGGUUAUUUUUGUUGAUAUUCAGAUGAGUCGACCUAAUUAAGUCUUCACAGAUUCAACUUACCAAACACAAA
rnacentral:lncRNA from 1 species